rnacentral:rRNA from 1 species
GACCUCGGAUCAGGUAGGAAUACCCGCUGAACUUAAGCAUAUCAAUAAGCGGAGGAAAAGAAACCAACAGGGAUUGCCUCAGUAACGGCGAGUGAAGCGGCAACAGCUCAAAUUUGAAAUCUGACCCUCUGGGUCCGAGUUGUAAUUUGUAGAGGAUGUUUCGGGUAAAAUCCGGGUCUAAGUUCCUUGGAACAGGACGUCAUAGAGGGUGAGAAUCCCGUAUAUGGCUCAGGAUCGCACCCAUGUGAAACUCCUUCGACGAGUCGAGUUGUUUGGGAAUGCAGCUCAAAAUGGGUGGUAAAUUUCAUCUAAAGCUAAAUAUUGGCCAGAGACCGAUAGCGCACAAGUAGAGUGAUCGAAAGAUGAAAAGCACUUUGAAAAGAGAGUUAAAAAGCAUGUGAAAUUGUUGAAAGGGAAGCGCUUGUGACCAGACUUGUCGGCAGGGUUCAGCCGCCGUUCUCGGCGGUGUAUUUCCCUGUCUGCAGGCCAGCAUCAGUUUGGGCGGAAGGUUAAAGGCCCGGGGAAGGUAUCAUCCUCCGGGAUGUCUUAUAGCCCCGGGUGUCAUGCUUCCCGCCCGGACUGAGGAACGCGCUUCGGCUCGGAUGCUGGCGUAAUGGUUCUAAGCGACCCGUCUUGAAACACGGACCAAGGAGUCUAACAUCUAUGCGAGUAUUUGGGUGUCAAACCCAUCUGCGCAAUGAAAGUGAACGGAGGUGGGAGUCUUCGGAUGCACCAUCGACCGAUCCUGAUGUCUUCGGAUGGAUUUGAGUAAGAGCAUAGCUGUUGGGACCCGAAAGAUGGUGAACUAUGCCUGAAUAGGGUGAAGCCAGAGGAAACUCUGGUGGAGGCUCGCAGCGGUUCUGACGUGCAAAUCGAUCGUCAAAUUUGGGUAUAGGGGCGAAAGACUAAUCG